CCGACCUCCCUGUAAUGACGUGAGCGUGAACGCGCACGCCGAGGCUGCAGGCUCGCCCACAAGAAACUUGCUGCGUAAUUUGCGCGUUGCUCCGAUUCAGAAACGCCAGGGAAAUACCACCUUUACCGGAUUCGCUAUACAUGUUUCGUUUUCAGUCUCUGGAUGAGGACUGUACCCUGGAGGAGGAAGAGGGCCUUGUGGAGGAGGAAGAUGAAAUCGACCAGUUCAAUGAUGACACCUUUGGAGCAGGGGCGAUUGAUGAUGACUGGCAGGAGGAGCACGCCCGGCUGGCAGAGUUGGACGAACGGGUGCGUGAUGGCGGGGUGUCCCUGCCUCCCACCGUGCCCCCGGCAGCCGCAGCCUCGUCCCUCCAGCCCUCUGCACCCCCUCCUGGUUUGGAGGAGCGUGGUGGCGGUGACCUAGCAGAGUCCCUGGCCAGGCUGAUCCUGGGGGCAGAUCCUGCAAUUGCUGGUGUGGGGGCGGCUGGGCUGCCCGCGAGAGCAGAACUGCCCCCCCAGCGUAAGGCCUUGUCUGAGGCUCUCCCAGCCAGGCCUCCUUCGCUGUUGGGCUACCACCAGCAGCAGCUGCGUAUGGGGACGGCGCCCCUGCAGGUGAACUCGCGCAGUAUCUGGGAGAGCGUAGGCUUUGGACCUGUAGGUGUCACCCCUGCACUUGGCCCCCGUAUGGAGGACAGUUCACUGUUGUCUAUUAUCAAGGAGGUUGGGUUGCCCAAGCAGCCCCCUCCAAUGAGAAGUGACGAGAGGCGGGAUCUCUCGGAGAGGGUUCCACCCCCUCGCUCCUCCUCGCCUGUGAUUGGCAGCCCUCCUGUGAGAGCCGUGCCAAUUGGGACACCUCCUAAGCAGCCCUUGAGCCACAUGUUGAACCAGCAGAUCCACUGCCCCACGGCGGUACAUGUGCGUGCUCCCAUCCAGCAUCGCUACGCCCAUCCUUUCCCUGAGCGCCUUUCCCCCAACACGCUGCUGAACAUCACGAACUCGCCCCUGUGUCGGCCUCCAUUCCCUGGUGGGGUGGGUCCGGUAUUGUCCCAGAUUCAACGGGCCCAGCUGCUCAGCUCCCAGGUGGGGGCGUUCCCUAGGGCCGGGCCAGCCCCACCGCUCCUACCUGGAGGGGCCGGCGGCUUUAGGCCAUUUUUCGGACAGCACCCUCCCAGGGUGGGGCCCCACAUCCCCCCGAAUCACGGCCCCAUCCGGCACAACACCACACACCUGCAUCCCCAGCACCGGAGACUGUUGACCCAGCGGCUGCAGAGCAGGGGGGAUCGGGGGGGACGUGGCGGUGAGCGCAGGAUCCGGGACCCCUACAGCAACCUGAUGACGCAGCGGGAGAAGGAGUGGGUGGCCCGCAUCCAGAUGAUGCAGCUGCAGAGCACUGACCCCUACCUGGAUGACUACUAUUAUCAGAAUUACUAUGAAAAGAUGGAGAAGAAGCAGGAGAGAGACCGUGACAGCAGCAGCAAGAAGGAACACACCACGAAGCUGAUCACUCCUCAGGUGGCCAAGCUGGAACACACCUACCGGCCAGUGCAGUUUGCUGGCUCUCUGGGCAAGCUGACCGUCUCCAGCGUGAACAAUCCCAGGAAGAUGAUCGACGCUGUGGUGACCAGCCGUAGCGACGACGAGGAGAAACGGGAGAAGCAGGUGUGGAACAAGAGGAGACAGAUCCUCUAUACAGUGGAAAAGAUGUACAGUCUACUGCUGGAGGUGCAAGACUUUGAGAAGAAGUUCAUUCAGACGCCAGAAGAACAGAGAGAGGCUCUUCUGGAGCAGCACAAGACCCACACGAUCCAGCUGUACAACACGCUGAGGGAGAAGGAGUGGGACGACAGAGUCAGCGAUGAGCAGUGCCUCAUGAUCAUGUCGGUCAGGAAAGGGAAGCGGCUGGUCUCCAGGCUCCUCCCCUUCCUGCCCCCACCCCAGGCGGCUGCGGUCGUCAUGGCGAUCGCCCGGAAUCUUCCCGCUUUAGCGAAAAAAGACAAGCAGGAUCAGGUGCUGUGCUGGUUGGUGGAGCCUGUCUCUGUGGUGGUCCAGGCCCUUUCCAGCUCUGCCCUCACCGACCUGCUGCAGGAGCUGCAGGGCAACGAGGGUCAGCUUCCCCGCGUGCUCCAAAACAAGUUUGGUGUGACGCUGUUGUACCUGAUCCUGAGUGAAGGAGAGCGGAUGCAGAGCUCUGACGCCAACUGCCAGCUCAUGGACGACAAUCGAUGGACGGAGCUGGUGUUCUCAGUGACCCGGAAGCUCCUGGAGGUGCCCCCAGCCUCCCUGUCUCCUCCGCUCUUCACUCCUCCCAACCUGCUGUCACUCUUCUCCCGAUAUGUGGACCGUCAGCGGCUGGAGCUCCUGCAGGAGAAGCUACAGAUUUCUGCCUUGUCUAGGUAGAAUUGGCUUCAGAUGUCAGUUAUGUCAUAUUGAAGAGCAACUGACCAUGUUAGCAUAUUUGUGUGUGCGUGCGUGCAGGCGUGUGUGUGUGUGUGAGUGACAGCGAAGGGAGGUAUAUUUAAGGGUAAUGAUUUUAAUCAGAUUUUUCUUCAGUAUGCAUGUUCACUAGGGCUGUCUGUGCGUACGCAGGACUGAGAUGGAAUGAAAUAAUGGCAGAACAGAAAUAAAAACCUUUGUUUUUAAAUCUUUGUUAACAUGAGGCCUGUGGCAAAACAUCAAAUUAAAAUGAUUUCUAUUGUUUAAA